rnacentral:snRNA from 1 species
GAAUGUAAAGGGAAUUAGGCUGCAAUAUCUCUCACCCCAUUGAUCACCAGGGUUGAUUCAGCUAAUCUGACUGGCUAGGUGGGUGUCCCUUACUCCCUCACUGCUCUAUGUGUAUCUUUCCUUCACUCCCAAACCCACACACUUGGUCAAAAAGGAUGACCUUCCCAGAAUAGAGGAGGACCAUCUUCAGCCAAGUUUAUAUGAAUAGCUAUGCUCACCUGCCAUAACCUCAAAACAAGCUGUCAAAUACAAGGCUGAAUAUCCCAAUAGUUUUAGAUUUAUCCCUUUUAUUUUACAAUG